GAAUGCAGGCGCACGCGUUCACCCACCAAUCACUCUGACACAUGGUCCGACGCGCGCGCGCGCGCACACGCACACACACUUAUUGAAAAAAAAGACUGCAUUACCCUUGCUCAACAUUACGGGGCAAUUAAAAGCGUCUACUCUCACGAUUCAUUGCAGGUGUCAAGUACACAGGGAGCUAUUGUUGAAGAUGCAGCCAGCGAUCAGAUCUUAUAAGCCUACAGCUACUCUUCCAGCAAAUCCCUUCCACUGAGCAUACCUACUUUACAUUCACAUUGGGAGUCUAACGCAAUCACAGGUUUGCUCUCAUUAUGGAGGAAAAAAUAACAACAGGACUGAUCACAAUCCGAAAAACCGGGGGAAUAGAAUCACGAUGUAAAACACGUGCUUGGAAGCAACUAUGCCCGAAGGACCAACAUUCUCUGAGACAAGGAAGGAGAAUUAAAACACAUCAGGCAUUCUCUUCCUCGUCGCUAUACCAACGACAAAGGGAAACCUGUUGUCCUUCGGUAUUGAACAACAAUGUAGCUGCGCUGCCAUAUCCACUAAUCACAAUAAUAACACUCAAUAUCAUCCUCAUUGUCAAAUGAAGUUAAUAUUGGUAAUAUUAUGGCUUGUGUGUGAAAUCUAACGCAACAUGGAAGA